rnacentral:rRNA from 1 species
AAUAGAUACCCAGGUAGUCCACGCCGUAAACGAUGAGUGCUAAGUGUUAGAGGGUUUCCGCCCUUUAGUGCUGCAGCUAACGCAUUAAGCACUCCGCCUGGGGAGUACGGUCGCAAGACUGAAACUCAAAGGAAUUGACGGGGGCCCGCACAAGCGGUGGAGCAUGUGGUUUAAUUCGAAGCAACGCGAAGAACCUUACCAGGUCUUGACAUCCUCUGACAACUCUAGAGAUAGAGCGUUCCCCUUCGGGGGACAGAGUGACAGGUGGUGCAUGGUUGUCGUCAGCUCGUGUCGUGAGAUGUUGGGUUAAGUCCCGCAACGAGCGCAACCCUUGAUCUUAGUUGCCAGCAUUAAGUUGGGCACUCUAAGGUGACUGCCGGUGACAAACCGGAGGAAGGUGGGGAUGACGUCAAAUCAUCAUGCCCCUUAUGACCUGGGCUACACACGUGCUACAAUGGAUGGUACAAAGGGCUGCAAGACCGCGAGGUCAAGCCAAUCCCAUAAAACCCAUUCUCAGUUCGGAUUGU